rnacentral:rRNA from 1 species
UACGUAGGGUGCAAGCGUUAAUCGGAAUACUGGGCGUAAAGCGUGCGCAGGCGGUUGUGCAAGACCGAUGUGAAAUCCCCGGGCUCAACCUGGGAAUGGCAUUGGUGACUGCACGGCUAGAGUGUGUCAGAGGGGGGUAGAAUUCCACGUGUAGCAGUGAAAUGCGUAGAGAUGUGGAGGAAUACCGAUGGCGAAGGCAGCCCCCUGGGAUAACACUGACGCUCAUGCACGAAAGCGUGGGGAGCAAACAGG